ensembl:lncRNA
GGGUAAAAACCCUCGCUUCUUUCAAAUAGUCUUAAAAUCUGCAGUCAUCCCGCGGACUGGAAUCUGAAUCUCGAUUUUAUUGAGGCCUGGAGUUUUUGAUAAAUUAUGAAGUGGAUUUUAACUGUUUUGUUUAUUGUCUUUUGUAGAUUUACCUACGAGUAACUAUGGAGUAUUAAUUUAAAUACAAAUAUCAACGUGUUCUGUCAAUGAACCUGCAUCGCUCUGAGGAAACCUUGCCAUCUCAGUUAUACGCUGCCGUGCUUCAGGGUUUUGAAGCCAGCCUGGUGGAGAUGUUUCUGGUGGAGGUAUACAGGUACAAGCACUUCCAGUUCACAAGCAGCAUCAAAAGUACGAUCAGGACAUACCUGGCUCAUACAUGUGAAACAGAUACAGGGUCAAAUUCCAGGCUCUCCUAAAAUUGACCAAAAUGAAAAUGAAUCGUAUAGCAUGGGAGAUGAAGCUAACCAAGAAAAUAAGGAAAACGAAGAAAAUUUUGCAAGAAAUAUCUGUCUUAUUACCUGUGUAUCAGAUGCUUCAAAAUGAGUCCUCCCUGCUGUGACAUGAGCCCAAGUAGUCAGAGCAGUAACUCUCAUGCCUCUCACUUUUGCGAAGUGAACACCUCAUUUGGAGCAGCAGCACCUCCUUUGCAGCUUGAGGAGCCCUGUUCUGCACUGCCAGCUGCUCUUACAAGUUCCAGGAGUAAAGAUGAAAAAGCCCAGUCUGUGCAUCUUGGCCUCUGUUGUGUUUCCGGUAUUACAGCUUGGACCUUAGCUGGGGAGAUAAAAAACUCUAAAGCUGAAGCAAGGUGUAAAAAUUUCAAAAAUCAGAAGAAAGCUAGAUGUGACAGUAAAAGGUUAGCUCAUCCUGUGACACAUGCUUGGGCCUUAAAGCUGGGUUCUGAGAGAAGGCAGCAUUUCUGCAGUGUGUGCAGCAUAGGACUGAAGUCGAAAGAUGCUCAUAAAGUCCAUGAAAAGGGUCAUGAUACGGACCGUGGCUUUAAGUGCGUUUAUUGUCGCACGGCUGAGUGGGACUUAAUGGAGAAUCAUUUAAAAUCACAGAAGGGAUAAAAGAAACCUACCAGUGCCUCAUCAGUGAAAGUGUUCUUGUGUCACAGAGUGCCUGGAAAGUGCACAGAAACAGCCACCUGAGGAAACUUCAUCUCUUUAAACGCACAAUACGUUCAUCAUCUUCUGAAACUGAGCGGAUAAGAAAUCUUCACGUAGUUUGCCGUUAUCAGGAUGUGUUUAAAUGUCUGCACAGUGAUUUUACCAGUCCUGUGAUACUUAGACCCACUGGCUUCAGCUCCAGUAUGGCAUCCUAACAUACGUUGUGUUGGUGGUGACUUGUUGACCAUUGAACCACGCUGGAGAAGCUGGUGUACACUGAAUGGAGGGUUAGCAUUCAGAAGAAGAGCUUGGACCUUCACAUAUGCUGACAUCACACUGGUGAGGUGUGGUUUUUGCUGCUAUUCUUCCUCUGAGAAACAACUUCUCCAAAAACACAUCAAGAAGUAUCACCUAGGUUCAGGAACUUUAUUAACCAGUUCCCAGCCCACCUUUACCCUCAAGUCACUUCCUGUGGAAUAUUAGGUUCUUCAUGCUUAAACUUCCACCAGAGCAUCCCAGCAAAUGCGGAAGCUGCUGGCAUUGUCAGACUUCUGUGCUGAAAGCCAGGGGUUAUCUGGAAGAAGAGAAGAAACAGUCCUUAUGCGGCAAUUAAAAGCACUUAGACUGGUCUUCCCAAAAGCCUUGUGUGUAUUUUGAUACAGGUGGAAACUCCAGUGUGCUGAGAGGAACAUGAAGAUUUGUGUUGCACAAAGGGUGGACAUGUCGAUUUUUUGUUCUGGUUACCUCUUAUUCUGCUUACUUACAAAUGAAGAGUUUGACAUUUGAAGGCAGAAUCUGUUAAAAUGUACCAAAGCUGACAGUGAACCCUACAGGUUGUUUCUGUACUACAGCUCUUAUUUUUGAUACAGCUCUCUACCUAAAUAAAUAAAUUUUAUAUAUAUAUAUUAUUUUUAAUAUUUAUAAACAUAUAUACAAGUAAAUUAUUUAAGAAAAUUUCCUGAUGCUGUUGGACUCAAUGUGGUAAAAAAAAAAAUCCUUAAAUUCCUUUGUUUUUAUUUUUUGUAACAAAAUGUGUCUAUUAUCAUAAGCUGAUCCAUUGUUGAAGUAAAAAUAUAAAUUAUUGAAAUA